CCGCCUGGGGAGUCCGGCCGCAAGGUUAAAACUCAAAUGAAUUGACGGGGGCCCGCACAAGCGGUGGAGCAUGUGGUUUAAUUCGAUGCAACGCGAAGAACCUUACCUACUCUUGACAUCCAGAGAAUUUWCCAGAGAUGGUUUAGUGCCUUCGGGAACUCUGAGACAGGUGCUGCAUGGCUGUCGUCAGCUCGUGUUGUGAAAUGUUGGGUUAAGUCCCGCAACGAGCGCAACCCUUAUCCUUAUUUGCCAGCRSGUAAUGGUGGGAACUUUAGGGAGACUGCCGGUGAUAAACCGGAGGAAGGUGGGGACGACGUCAAGUCAUCAUGGCCCUUACGAGUAGGGCUACACACGUGCUACAAUGGCGAGUACAGAGGGUUGCGAAGCCGCGAGGUGAAGCUAAUCCCAGAAAGCUCGUCGUAGUCCGGAUUGGAGUCUGCAACUCGACUCCAUGAAGUCGGAAUCGCUAGUAAUCGUGGAUCAGAAUGCCACGGUGAAUACGUUCCCGGGCCUUGUACACACCGCCCGUCACACCAUGGGAGUGGGCUGCACCAGAAGUAGAUAGACUUA
rnacentral:rRNA from 1 species